GAAAUGCGAUAAGUAAUGUGAAUUGCAGAAUUCAGUGAAUCAUCGAAUCUUUGAACGCACAUUGCGCCCGCUAGUAUUCUGGCGGGCAUGCCUGUUCGAGCGUCAUUUCAACCAUCAAGCCCUAGGCUUGUGUUGGGGCCCUGCGGCCGUCCGCAGCCCCCUAAAAACAGUGGCGGGCUCGCUAUAAACCGAGUGCAGUAGUUUACUCUUCGCUCAGGUCUCGUAGUGGGUUCUUGCCGUAAAACACCCCAUUUUCUCAGAAAAAAACCAAAAAUCUUGGAAUUAUUUAUCAAUUGUCCUCAGCCGAGUGAGAUUACCCGCUGAACUUAA
rnacentral:misc_RNA from 1 species